rnacentral:rRNA from 1 species
UGGGGAAUAUUGCGCAAUGGGGGCAACCCUGACGCAGCCAUGCCGCGUGAAUGAAGAAGGCCUUCGGGUUGUAAAGUUCUUUCGGUGAUGAGGAAGGUGGAUGUUUUAAUAGAGCAUACAAUUGACGUUAGUCACAGAAGAAGCACCGGCUAACUCCGUGCCAGCAGCCGCGGUAAUACGGAGGGUGCGAGCGUUAAUCGGAAUAACUGGGCGUAAAGGGCACGCAGGCGGACUUUUAAGUGAGGUGUGAAAUCCCCGGGCUUAACCUGGGAAUUGCAUUUCAGACUGGGGGUCUAGAGUACUUUAGGGAGGGGUAGAAUUCCACGUGUAGCGGUGAAAUGCGUAGAGAUGUGGAGGAAUACCGAAGGCGAAGGCAGCCCCUUGGGGAUGUACUGACGCUCAUGUGCGAAAGCGUGGGGAGCAAACAGGA